UCCACUUUAAGGAUAGAGAAACUGAGGCCCAUAAAGGCCAAAUGACUUGCCCAAGGUAACUGUGUAAGCAGAAUAAUGGCUUCCGAAAAUGUUCACACACUAAUCCUAUAAAGUGCUGAAUAUGUUACCUUCCAUUGCAAAAGGGACUUUGCGCAUGUGACUAAUUAUUAAUUUUUUUAUUGAGAUGGAGUCUUGCUCUGUCACCCAGACUGGAGUGUAGUGGCUCCAUCUUAUCUCAUUGCAACAUCCGCCUCCUAGGUUCAAGUAAUUACCCUGCCUCAGCCUCCUGAGUAGUUGGGAUUACAGGUUCCCGCCACCACACCUGGCUAAUUUUUGUAUUUUUAGUAGAGACGGGGGUUUCACUGUUUUGGCCAGGCUGGUCAUGAACUCCUGACCUCAGGUGAUCUGCCUGCCCUGGCCUCCCAAAGUGCUGGGAUUACAGGUGUGAGCCACCGCACCCAGCCCCAUCACCCAGAUUAUUAAGUCUAGUACCCGUGGCAUAUAAGCACCGUAUUUUCUUUAUCCAGUCUUCCAUUGAUUGACACUUAGGUUGAUUCCAUUUCUUUGCUGUUGUGAAAAGUGCUGCAGUGUACAUUCGUGUGCAUGUGUCUUUAUAACAGAAUGAUUUAUAUUCUUUGGGGUAUAUACCCAGCAAUGGGAUUGCUGGAUCAAAUGAUAGUUGGUUUUAGGUCUUUGAGGAAUCACCACAGUGCUUUCCACAAUAGUUUAAUUAAUUUACACCCCACCAACAGUCUUUAGAAAAGUCUUAGCAUGUGAAGCCU
rnacentral:lncRNA from 1 species